AAAGCACCCCGGAAGGGGAGUGAAAUAGAACCUGAAACCGUGUGCUUACAAGUAGUCAGAGCCCGUUAAUGGGUGAUGGCGUGCCUUUUGUAGAAUGAACCGGCGAGUUACGAUUUGAUGCAAGGUUAAGCAGUAAAUGUGGAGCCGUAGCGAAAGCGAGUCUGAAUAGGGCGUUUAGUAUUUGGUCGUAGACCCGAAACCAGGUGAUCUACCCUUGGUCAGGUUGAAGUUCAGGUAACACUGAAUGGAGGACCGAACCGACUUACGUUGAAAAGUGAGCGGAUGAACUGAGGGUAGCGGAGAAAUUCCAAUCGAACCUGGAGAUAGCUGGUUCUCUCCGAAAUAGCUUUAGGGCUAGCCUCAAGUGAUGAUUAUUGGAGGUAGAGCACUGUUUGGACGAGGGGCCCCUCUCGGGUUACCGAAUUCAGACAAACUCCGAAUGCCAAUUAAUUUAACUUGGGAGUCAGAACAUGGGUGAUAAGGUCCGUGUUCGAAAGGGAAACAGCCCAGACCACCAGCUAAGGUCCCAAAAUAUAUGUUAAGUGGAAAAGGAUGUGGCGUUGCCCAGACAACUAGGAUGUUGGCUUAGAAGCAGCCAUCAUUUAAAGAGUGCGUAAUAGCUCACUAGUCGAGUGACACUGCGCCGAAAAUGUACCGGGGCUAAACAUAUUACCGAAGCUGUGGAUUGUCCUUUGGACAAUGGUAGGAGAGCGUUCUAAGGGCGUUGAAGCAUGAUCGUAAGGACAUGUGGAGCGCUUAGAAGUGAGAAUGCCGGUGUGAGUAGCGAAAGACGGGUGAGAAUCCCGUCCACCGAUUGACUAAGGUUUCCAGAGGAAGGCUCGUCCGCUCUGGGUUAGUCGGGUCCUAAGCUGAGGCCGACAGGCGUAGGCGAUGGAUAACAGGUUGAUAUUCCUGUACCACCUAUAAUCGUUUUAAUCGAUGGGGGGACGCAGUAGGAUAGGCGAAGCGUGCGAUUGGAUUGCACGUCUAAGCAGUAAGGCUGAGUAUUAGGCAAAUCCGGUACUCGUUAAGGCUGAGCUGUGAUGGGGAGAAGACAUUGUGUCUUCGAGUCGUUGAUUUCACACUGCCGAGAAAAGCCUCUAGAUAGAAAAUAGGUGCCCGUACCGCAAACCGACACAGGUAGUCAAGAUGAGAAUUCUAAGGUGAGCGAGCGAACUCUCGUUAAGGAACUCGGCAAAAUGACCCCGUAACUUCGGGAGAAGGGGUGCUCUUUAGGGUUAACGCCCAGAAGAGCCGCAGUGAAUAGGCCCAAGCGACUGUUUAUCAAAAACACAGGUCUCUGCUAAACCGUAAGGUGAUGUAUAGGGGCUGACGCCUGCCCGGUGCUGGAAGGUUAAGAGGAGUGGUUAGCUUCUGCGAAGCUACGAAUCGAAGCCCCAGUAAACGGCGGCCGUAACUAUAACGGUCCUAAGGUAGCGAAAUUCCUUGUCGGGUAAGUUCCGACCCGCACGAAAGGCGUAACGAUUUGGGCACUGUCUCAACGAGAGACUCGGUGAAAUCAUAGUACCUGUGAAGAUGCAGGUUACCCGCGACAGGACGGAAAGACCCCGUGGAGCUUUACUGUAGCCUGAUAUUGAAAUUCGGCACAGCUUGUACAGGAUAGGUAGGAGCCUUUGAAACGUGAGCGCUAGCUUACGUGGAGGCGCUGGUGGG
rnacentral:rRNA from 1 species